rnacentral:rRNA from 1 species
AUUGAACGCUGGCGGCAUGCCUUACACAUGCAAGUCGAACGGCAGCGGGGGAGAAGCUUGCUUUUCCUGCCGGCGAGUGGCGAACGGGUGAGUAAUACAUCGGAACGUGCCCUGUAGUGGGGGAUAACUAGUCGAAAGAUUAGCUAAUACCGCAUAUGACCUGAGGGUGAAAGUGGGGGACCGCAAGGCCUCAUGCUAUAGGAGCGGCCGAUGUCUGAUUAGCUAGUCGGUGGGGUAAAGGCCUACCAAGGCGAGGAUCAGUAGCUGGUCUGAGAGGACGAUCAGCCACACUGGGACUGAGACACGGCCCAGACUGCUACGGGAGGCAGCAGUGGGGAAUUUUGGACAAUGGGCGAAAGCCUGAUCCAGCAAUGCCGCGUGUGUGAAGAAGGCCUUCGGGUUGUAAAGCACUUUUGUCCGGAAAGAAAUGGCUCUGGUUAAUACCUGGGGUCGAUGACGGUACCGGAAGAAUAAGGACCGGCUAACUACGUGCCAGCCGCCGCGGUAA